rnacentral:lncRNA from 1 species
AACUAAGCCACGCCUGCGCGUCUGUAAUAUCCACCAGGGCACCCUGGACAUGGAGCCUCCCCUGUGUGGGCGAUGCAGCUGAGGUAGACGGUCGCCUCAAACUAUGAUAAGCUACCGACGUGCAAAGACGUGGAGAACAAAUGCGGUGACCAUACGAGCAGGCCGAGUAAGCAAGUUUCAAAGAGGCGUUCAGCGCCGCAGAACUACCGAAUGGAGCCACUGUAGGAGUACAUAGAGGGACAACAAACGACGAAACGCCGUUUGGUAUGCUACCGACAGUCCCUUGUUCCUUGCAUAGGCACGGCCAGGUCAAGAUGAAAGCAAGGUCGUGGGGCUAGAGGUUUGAACGCGAGAGCGUUGCUGCGCACGCCCAAGGAAAAGCCUGUCUGUGCCAAAAUAAGAAAGAAGUGACUGCAUUUUCGCUGACUUAUUACGGAAGAGCAUUGUUAAAUGGGGUUUAGUGCAGUGAUAGCUUCGUCAAUUUGACUUGAUACAACCAUUGAAGCCCUAUGGUACCAAUCAGGGGAUGGAAAUUUCUUUGAUAGAGCGGGAAAUUCGUAAAAUCGGGUGUCGUUAGAUCAAGUUCUAACUGUAUUUCUUUACGGAAAACUCGCAGGCGUAAUGGUAAUGCUGAUGAAUCCAGCUAUAGUUCAGUGUAUAUCAACAUGGUCGUAGCUUCUCACCCAUACGGCCUGGAAGACGGGAUCUGUCAACGAAUAGUGGUAAUAAGAAGUGAUCGUUGCAUUUGUGAAUGCGUUCUUGCAUGUACGUACGAAGAGUGAUUGUUUACGAAUUGGUGCCAGUUGUAGAGUGUCUCGAGGUUUGCGAAAACAGCUCUGGUUUUCAUAUAAGUCUUCAUGGCGCUGUAUUAAUUUUCAGUCAUCAAAUUCAUUUUCGAUGCUUUUAGUUACUUUUGUUGUGUUUUGUAACCACCUACAGUCUGUGCGUGUGUGUUAUUUAUUGCUGGCACUCGAGGAGUUGUCUUCACGUGACGCCCGUUGUAUACGAGAAACGCAUACUGUGUUGUGUAAAAAAUGGCCGCCUGAAUUAGUGCGUGAUAAAUGACUCUAGUCUAUAUUGUGUCUGAGAUAAGCUUGUUAGCGAGAAAAACGCAGUGGUAUUACGAGCGAUCACAUUUACGCUAACCACGAAAGCGCGCUUUGUUAUUAUACUAGAACAGCGAGUGUCAAUGAUUGCUACUGUCAUUCUGCGCUUGAUGUACCCAGAUUGUUUUGCAAGCGCUGUUGCUGUCUUUUCUGAAGGACGAGCUGCGGUCCAUUACGACUCGAUCGCAAUACUUAGGCGAAAAACCUCCUGCCGCUGCGGAGAAUCACUGCACAUACAUAUUGUGCCUACGCGUUGACAGCAGCAGAGGCUAUGAGCAAACAAUGUCAUUGGGUACUUUCUUGCUGAAUGCAGGACAAACGAUGUCAUAAGUGUAUUGGUUUUAAACUAAGACUGUGGUCGCGUUUUGUUUUUAAUGUCAUUUUGUACGUUAUCAGUUGACUGUCAAUAAAGAUGAUGUUUUCAU